rnacentral:lncRNA from 1 species
AAUCUGGAAGCUGAGCUGACCGCCUCUACCAAUCGGAGGGCCGAGCAGGUACUGAAGUCCAAGCGCGCUCCUGUGGCCAAUGACAUUACCACUCUUGGGCAACAUUAGUUUAAGGUUGUCGAGCAACUCCAAAAGCAACCCUAAACUAUCCCUAAUAAUUUAAUUUGGGAGAAAAGGAAAAAAAUUUGCGCUCCAAUAGCUCCCCCAAACCAUCCGCAUAUUUUCACCCACCUCAAUCGUGAUCCCGUCACCCCGCUUAUUUGCGUGUGGUCUCUCC